rnacentral:rRNA from 1 species
UUGGAUGAUACCCCCUGGGAACUGGGGCUAAUAUCAGAUAGAAGAAGGUGCCUGGAAUGGCUCUCCUUCCAAAGGUUACUAGAAACAUGCUUCAAGUAAUGCCUAAGGAUGAGACUGCGACCGAUCAGGCUGUUGGUGAGGUAACGGCUCACCAAACCUAUAACCGGUACGGGCCCUGAAAGGGGAAGCCCGGAGAUGGGAACUGAGACAAGGUCCCAGGCCCUACGGGGCGCAGCAGGCGCGAAAACUUCACAAUGCGCGAAAGCGUGAUGGGGUUACCCCGAGUGCUAUCCGUUGAGGAUGGCUUUUACUUAGUAUAAGAAGCUAAGAGAAUAAAGGGGGGGCAAGUCUGGUGUCAGCCGCCGCGGUAAUACCAGCCCCCUGAGUGAUAGGGACGACUAUUUAGCCUAAAGCGUCCGUAGCCGGCUUAACAAGUCUUUCGUUAAAUCUGACGACUUAAUCGCCAGACUGCGGAAGAUACUGUUAGGCUCGAGGGCGGGAGAGGUUGACGGUAGUCCCGGGGUAGGGGUGAAAUCCUAUAAUCCUGGGAGGACCACCAGUGGCGAAGGCGGUCAACUAGAACGCGCCUGACGGUGAGGGACGAAAGCUGGGGGAGCGAACCGGAUUAGACACCCGGGUAGUCCCAGCUGUAAACGAUGCGGGCUAGGUGUUGGAGUAGCUACGUGCUGCUCCAGUGCCGCAGAGAAGUUGUUAAGCCCGCCGCUUGGGAAGUACGGCCGCAAGGCUGAAACUUAAAGGAAUUGGCGGGGGAGCAC